GCCUCCUUAGCUCCGGGGUUAGAGCCUCGUAUUUGUAAUGCGGAGGUCAUCAGUUCGGUAGGCU
rnacentral:tRNA from 1 species